rnacentral:tRNA from 1 species
GUUUCUAAAGCUCUAAGAGUAUGGCCUUGAAGAAGCUAAGGAGGAAGAAUUUCCUAGAAACA